ACGGGAGGCAGCAGUGAGGAAUAUUGGUCAAUGGGCGGAAGCCUGAACCAGCCAUGUCGCGUGCAGGACUACGGCCCUACGGGUCUUAAACUUCUUUUAUAGGGGGAUAAAGUGAGAUACGCGUAUCUUAUUGUAGGUACCCUAUGAAUAAGCAUCGGCUAACUCCGUGCCAGCAGCCGCGGUAAUACGGAGGAUGCGAGCGUUAUCCGGAUUUAUUGGGUUUAAAGGGUGCGCAGGCGGCACGUUAAGUCAGCGGUGAAAUGUCGGGGCUCAACCCGGGCACUGCCGUUGAAACUGGCGAGCUUGAGUACGGAUGAAGUCGGCGGAAUGUGAUGUGUAGCGGUGAAAUGCUUAGAUAUGUCACAGAACACCGAUUGCGAAGGCAGCUGACUAAUCCGCAACUGACGCUCAGGCACGAAAGCGUGGGGAUCGAACAGGAUUAGAUACCCUGGUA
rnacentral:rRNA from 1 species